UUAUACUAAGCUGGCAAAACUGGACAACAAUAACCAUGCGGAGUCGGUGCAGGCUGCAUAAAAUGGACCGCAGCUGCAAUAGGCUAUUGGACUUCAAAUCUUGGCUUUCUGAACUCGGGCUCUGCGGAUCGUGCAGAAUGUAUCACGGUCGCGGAGGUAGGUAGUGCAGUCCGUACAAUCAUGACUGUGGACCACAUGGAUUGAACCUUGGCUAUUUCAAUCUCUGUGAAUGCCUCUUCCGCGUACCAUACAAAUGGUAGUGCAACCGCGGAACCUUCACUACGGACCGUGAAAUAUCGAAUGCAGCCGCAGUGCCUUGAAGCCCAUUUUGCCAGCUCUUUGAAUCCCCCAAUGCGGACCGUGCAAAGUGUAGUGCGGCCACACUAGGCCUGUUUUGCCCUUAGCUUGCCUUGUUUUGAUACUUGAGCAGGUUUCACUCUUUUGAGCCGAUCUUUGACAUUUUGUCACUUUGUUGAUCAUAUCUGCAAUCAAGCACAACUUAUGAGCCUUUUGGGACUAAUUUUUAACAAUUUGUUAUC
rnacentral:lncRNA from 1 species